AGUCUGGCGGUGUUAGUUGCACGUUAAAUUGCAAGUUUAAGAGUGAUGGUGAGCCAUCCUGGACUU
rnacentral:tRNA from 1 species